UACAGAGGUGGCAAGCGUUGUUCGGAAUUACUGGGCGUAAAGGGCGCGUAGGCGGCCUUCUAAGUCAGACGUGAAAUCCCCCGGCUUAACCUGGGAACUGCGUCUGAUACUGGGAGGCUAGAGUGCGGGAGAGGGAUGCGGAAUUCCAGGUGUAGCGGUGAAAUGCGUAGAUAUCUGGAGGAACACCGGUGGCGAAGGCAGCCCCCUGGGUUAACACUGACGCUCAGGCACGAAAGCGUGGGGAGCAAACAGG
rnacentral:rRNA from 1 species